rnacentral:lncRNA from 1 species
GGUCUUGCUCUGUUGCCCAGGCUGGAGUGCAGUGGUGCAAUCAUGGCUUACUGCAGCCUCAACCUCUUGGGCUCAAGCAAUCCUUCCACGUCAGCAGGAGCUACAUGUCAUCCUCUCAAGUAGCUGGGACUAUAGUCCACAGAUUUACAACUUGAGGUGGCCUGCACCAGACCCACGGGGCAAUAACAGUCUUCCAUUGAAUUCUUUAGCAGUUUCUACAAUUGCAUAAGGAUUCUACGUGUUUUAAGAGUUGGUCCUACCUUUCUUCUCGAUCCACUUGAUCACAAAGCAACCUUUCUAGAACAUCGUUUUCGCCAUCACAAGACAGUUGGUUCCAGAUGUUAACAAGAUCAACCUUGCUGGGAAAUGAACAAGCGACCAGUUUUGUAGGCUCCUACCAGUGAAAGCCUCCUCACAACUCUCUUCUUCUCCCCAAGGACUGCGUGCAAUUCUACUUGGAGAUCUUCAUAACACCUUAAGGGAAAAAUCCUUUUUGAAAGAAAAACAAGUCUGGGUGGUGCUUGAAAAUUCAGAAGGCAGCUAGAAACUCUGCCAAUUACAACUGGUGAUUGCUGAGUUCUGGAGACAGACUGGGCUUCUGCUUUCUUUUGGUGGAGGUGUCUGCUUGCAGAAAAUUUAUGUUCUGGGAUUUACAACUUCAGGGAGACAAAGGAAACUCCAGCUCAUCUCCCACAUCAUUGAUUGAGAGGACCAUUUUCUGACUGUCUGCACACUGGUGCUUCGUGAACCCUGGAUGCUACAGUCUCUGGCCACAGCACUAAAUGUAUGCUGAGAUCUGGCUUCACGGUCGAGGGUGUUGCUGGUUUUCAAUGUGCCUGACAUAGGAUCAAUGGUGAAUGCACCAGAAGCCUCAUCAGUCAGAAAAUACUCAGUUUGCCCAUUCAGGCCUUCAUCCUUGUCCACAGCUGAAAGCACAAGAACCACUGUUCCCACUUCAGCAUCUUCUCUCACAGAGGACUGGUAAUAAAGUGUGGGAAAAGAAGGACUGUGGUCAUUGGCAUCCAAAACUCUAACUUGCAGGUGUAUUACAGAGCUCCUAGGUGGAUCUCCCAGGUCAGAGCACAGAAUGACAAGGGUAAAAUUGCUGAUUUGCUCCCGGUCCAAAGCACGAGUGGUUGAGAGUUCUCCUGACAUCUCAUUUAUAGUAAAGCACUCAUCAGUAUUUCCAUCUAUUAAAGAAAACAAUUACAAAUUCAUUUGAAUUGAAAAAGUAGCAGCUCUUUGCUAGCACUAUCUAUGGUAUUCAUUUAUACAUUCAUUAAAAAUAUAUUUAUUCCCGAUUAUAUUGUAUCCUAGCACUUUUGUAAAUAUUGGGGAUAUAACAGUAAGCAUGAUAAAGGCUCUGCCCUCAUGAAACUUCUAUUGAGGGGAUAAACAGAAUAAUAUGAUUCAAUGCCUAUCUUUAAUCAGUCAAUAAUUAGAACACUUGCUUUCACUAAUUUGCAGCCGUAUGAUUUUUUGUGUGCAUCUACAACUUUUAAUUUUAAUAUAUUUUUCCUCAUAAGAGGAUGAAGAUAUAUGUUUUAUUUAACACAAAACAAUAGAUGAGGAUAAAAAAAACAGAAUAUAAUGUCCUUUUUUAAGAUAUCAAUCAGAAAUGAACAGAUUUGAUUUGUAGUUAUUUUCUCAAAUAGUACCCACUACAGUAUUCAUGCCUGUUAUACUAUUGCAGUAAGCCUUCUCUUCUACAUGUCCACAGCAUUUUGUACAAGAAUCAUAACACUUUGGUUAGAGUUAGUUGGACACUUGACUAUUUCUUCCAAAACAUAAAUAAGGACAUUGUUCUAUUCAUCUAUUCCUUAAAAAAAAUCUGCCCUUUAUUAUAUUCCAUCGUAUCAAGUAGAAUAAAACUUAAAAUUGAACACAGGGACAAAAAGCUUUCAAAGACAUUUUUAAAUAACCCUGAAAAUUAGUGAAGAAAAAUGUGGUUCAUAUGCUUGCCAGCCAUAUUCUUGGAUGAAGAGCAGGCCCAAUAGUGUGGGAACUUACUAGAGUCUGCAUAUCAGAGGCAUAUGAGGACCAAGUGGAAUGGCAUUCAAAGGAAACAACAGCAAUAGGUAGCUUUAGGGAGGAGGAGAGGGCCCUGCAUUUGUAUUCAUGAGGAACAGUUAAUUUACACCAAAAGUAGAGAUGAUUGGACAAACCCACAUUUCUGUAGUAUUUGUGGCUGAUAAAGUGAUUCAGUCAUUCAGCAAACAUUUGAUGAGCAUCUACUAUGUGCCAAGUUUGUGCUCAAGAUCACAGAUAUGAAGGGAGUAAGACAUGACCUAGCUCCAAGAGUUCACAGUCUAAAAGGAAAGGCUGGUCAAUACUCGGGUAUUAAAGUACCAUGUGAAAAUCAUAUGUACAGAGUGCUAAAUGAGUACAUAUAGAUAGUGCUAGCCAAGGGGUGCUAUUUCUCUGAGAAGUACAGAGAAAGGGCACAUAGUCCUAUGUUAGUAAGUUCAAGAAAUGCUUAUUGGAAAAAGUGACAUCAAAUCUCACUCCUAAAGUGGAGAAAGCCAUACUACAAGUUUUGGGGAGAGUGUUCUAUGCAGAGGAAAGAGCCCGUGGGAAGUUCUAGGAAUAUAAGAAUUAACAGGCUGCAAAUGUUUGGGUGUGACUAGUACACAGGGUUCCUGGGUGUUUGUAUGUGGCAAGUAGGAAAAGGGCUGGCAGUAGCGGUAGAGGAAAGACAUGAAUUUGGGAGGUAAGCAGGGGGUCAAAUUGUGAAGGGCUCUCUGUAUACUGCUGAAGAUUCUAUAGUUUCUCCUGAAAUCCAUGAGGGAGCCCCCUGAAGGAUUUUGGACAGGAAAGUGUCAUGAAUCAAAUUUCUAUUUUAAGAAUAGUAUCGAGGCAGCAAUGUCAAAGUUUGUUUAGAAAAUAGGAUGGUUCCUGUAAUCCCAGAACUUUUGGAGACCAAGGCGGGAGGAUUGCUUGAGUCCAGGAAUUUGAGUCCAGCCUGGGCAACAUAGUGAGACC